AUACCUUUCUCGGCCUUUUGGCUAAGAUCAAGUGUAGUAUCUGUUAUUAUCAGUUUAAUAUCUGAUACGUGGGCCAUCGGUCCACAUGAUAUUAAGUUUAUUUUUCUAGGGGAAGACCCACCGCAGUAGCUUGCUACUAGGGUCCUCGCGCGUCGCCCAUGCGUUGCACUACUGCAAGGGCCCGGCGCAUCCCAC
rnacentral:snRNA from 1 species